GUCAUAUGCUUUUUUCAAGGACUAAGCCAUGCAUGUCUCAGCGUACACGGCUCUUCCCACAGUGGGUCUGUGAAUGGCUCCUUACAUCAGCAGUCAUCUCCAUGAUAGAGUGUGGAUGGCACCAACUCCUGCCAGGUGCCCGUUUGGACAUCCUCCGAAACCUGGUGGCUAAUACACGGUCGCAGAGCUCCGCCAUGUGCACGUUUGCCCGAGCUUUCCAUUGCCCGCCUGACGGUGGUGGAUUGCACCCAGCCGCUGAGAAGACCAGCGCCUGUGAAAAGGGCAGCGUGUGCAGGACUGAAUCAGGCUGGUCCCAUUGGGACGGAUGCGCUGGCAGAGAGAUUGGUGGCCCCGUGCCACACAUCAUUGCUUGAUCACACGAACUUCUGACCUAUCAGCCUUGACUGUGGUGCAGUGGACCACAGUGGCAGUCACGGGUAACGGAGAAUCAGGGUUCGAUUCCGGAGAGGGAGCCUGAGAGACGGCUACCACUACCAAGGUGGGCAGCAGGCACGCAAAUUGCCCAAUGCUGAGACGCUUCUGGUGAGGCAGCGACGAACUGCAGCAACUCUGCCAGUCUCUCACGACUGGCAUUGCUUGGAAUGGAUGCAAUCCAAACACAGUGAUGAGUAUCAACUGGAGGGCAAGUCUGGUGCCAGCAGCUGCGGUAAUUCCAGCUCCAAGGGCGUAUACUGACAUUGCUGCUGUUAAAACACUUGUAGUCGGACGCAGGGUGCAGGUCUGACAAGUGGCUGGUGCGGAUUUCUGAGAUGGUGGCUGUGUGCUCCCCAGGCGCAACUUUGUCGGGGAACACGCCCCGACUGCCUCGCACAGGGGUCAAACCCUGCUGUGGGGUGGAUGGGGUCGUGUCGCUACUCGGUCCUCUGCGCUGGACAAAACCCUUGUCAGUAUGUUCCUUCACCCGUCUUCUCAUCGAUGGUGCGAUGGCUCCUGCUCCAAGUCCCCUUCAGUGGGGAUCGAUGCGGUUGUACACCCGACGCUUGUGUGUGGCGAACGGAGGGCACAGUCUUCUGGGAGCACUGUGCAGCUUCACCUCCUGCCCACCACCGGAGUCCACCGUCCAUUGUCACCGUGGAGAACUCAGAGUGCUCAAAGCAUCCGACCUGGCUUGGAUGAUCGUCCAUGGAAUGUCAAAGCAUCGACCGGAUGUGGCCAAACGGAGUUGUGCUGGCCUUGGUGCUCAUCCCGGGGAACGUGGUGCCAUGACUGGCGGUCCUGCUAGUCUUCCAUUCACUCGGCGGCCGCUCGCAAGAGUGGUCUGCCUUGGAGCGGGGUUGGCGUGGUGGGGUCGUUUCAGCUCUGGUACCGAUCGGCCUCGAUGGGACUGCUCGGGGUGAAGGAUACUGCAGCGCCAGAGGUGAAAUUCUUAGACCGCUGCAAGAUCAACUGCAGCGAAGGCGCUCUGCAAGUGCAUGUUCGUCGAUCAAGAAUGAGAGUGUGGGGAGCGAAGAUGAUCAGACACCGUCGUAGUCCACGACUGUCAACUAUGCCAGCUCGGUGCCGGUGGUGAAAGUGCACAGACAUCAUCAGCGCCAAUCCCCUUGCCUCGAGAAAUCCACAAGCCUGUGGGUUCAGGGGGGAGUACGGUCGCAAGGCUGAAACUUAAAGGAAUUGACGGAAUGGCACCACAAGGCGUGGAGUAUGCGGCUUAAUUUGACUCAACACGGGGAAUGUUACCAGGUCAGGACACUGCUGGGAUGGACAGAUUGAGAGCUCUUUCUUGAUCCUCUGGAUGGUGGUGCAUGGCCGCUCCUGAUUGGUGGAGUGAUUUGUCUGGUUGAUUCCGAUAACGAGUGAGAUCUCUGCCUCCCAAUAGCCGCAGGCUCGCAUCUGUAGGGUUGGCAGUGGUUUGGAUCCUCGCCCUGUCCGGGGUGCAAGCCCUGGCUGGGUGAGACCUUCCGCUCCACAUCGCUGCCCGAGAGCCCUGUGACAAAGCUUCUCUGAGGUGCUGCGGACGCCACCAAGUUCUCGCAUGCUAGAGCCAACAGCAGGUCUGUGAUGCUCCCAGAUGUCCUGGGCCGCACGCGCACUACAUUGGUCCGGUGAAUGUGCUGAGCCACGCGCCUCGGCGGGACCUGCCCGGAAGUGGGCGGGAAACCCCGAGAGCCCGUGCUGCCGUACUGGGGAUUUAUGAUUGCAACUGUCUGCCUUGAACGAGGAAUGCCUAGUAGGCGCAGGUCAUCAGCCUGCACCGAUUGUGUCCCUGCCAUUUGUACACACCGCCCGUCGUUGCUACCGAUGGUAGCGGGAUAGAGCCAUCCGGAGGCCACUGCCUCUUCCGUCGGGGUUCAGUCUCCGCAGCUCCUCCUCGGAGGUCCUGUGGGCUGGUGCUCUGCCGGGAGGUUGGUGCCAAAAUCGGGCAAUGUCCUGCUGCUAGAGGAAGCAAAAGUCGUAACAAGGUAGCUGUAGGUGA
rnacentral:rRNA from 2 species